rnacentral:tRNA from 1 species
GGGGUUGUGGCUCAGGAGUAGAGCACUCGCCUAGCAUGUGUGAGGCCCUGGGUUCGAUCCUCAGCACCACA